UACGGGGGGGGCAAGCGUUGUUCGGAAUUACUGGGCGUAAAGCGCGUGUAGGCUGCUCGGAAAGUCGGAUGUGAAAGCCCUGGGCUCAACCUAGGAAGUGCAUUCGAAACUCCCGAGCUGGAGUCCUGGAGAGGAAGGCGGAAUUCUCGGUGUAGAGGUGAAAUUCGUAGAUAUCGAGAGGAACACCGGUGGCGAAGGCGGCCUUCUGGACAGUGACUGACGCUGAGGUGCGAAAGCGUGGGGAGCAAACAGG
rnacentral:rRNA from 1 species